rnacentral:rRNA from 1 species
AUGACGAGCGGCGGACGGGUGAGUAAUGCUUGGGAACAUGCCUUGAGGUGGGGGACAACAGUUGGAAACGACUGCUAAUACCGCAUAAUGUCUACGGACCAAAGGGGGCUUCGGCUCUCGCCUUUAGAUUGGCCCAAGUGGGAUUAGCUAGUUGGUGAGGUAAUGGCUCACCAAGGCGACGAUCCCUAGCUGGUUUGAGAGGAUGAUCAGCCACACUGGGACUGAGACACGGCCCAGACUCCUACGGGAGGCAGCAGUGGGGAAUAUUGCACAAUGGGCGCAAGCCUGAUGCAGCCAUGCCGCGUGUGUGAAGAAGGCCUUCGGGUUGUAAAGCACUUUCAGUCAGGAGGAAAGGUUAGUAGUUAAUACCUGCUAGCUGUGACGUUACUGACAGAAGAAGCACCGGCUAACUCCGUGCC